GGGUUGUGAGGUUAAGCGACUAAGCGUACACGGUGGAUGCCCUGGCAGUCAGAGGCGAUGAAGGACGUGCUAAUCUGCGAUAAGCGUCGGUGAGGUGAUAUGAACCGUUAUAACCGGCGAUUUCCGAAUGGGGAAACCCAGUGUGUUUCGACACACUAUCAUUAACUGAAUCCAUAGGUUAAUGAGGCGAACCGGGGGAACUGAAACAUCUAAGUACCCCGAGGAAAAGAAAUCAACCGAGAUUCCCCCAGUAGCGGCGAGCGAACGGGGAGGAGCCCAGAGCCUGAAUCAGUGUGUGUGUUAGUGGAAGCGUCUGGAAAGGCGCGCGAUACAGGGUGACAGCCCCGUACACAAAAAUGCACAUAUUGUGAGCUCGAUGAGUAGGGCGGGACACGUGGUAUCCUGUCUGAAUAUGGGGGACCAUCCUCCAAGGCUAAAUACUCCUGACUGACCGAUAGUGAACCAGUACCGUGAGGGAAAGGCGAAAAGAACCCCGGCGAGGGGAGUGAAAAAGAACCUGAAACCGUGUACGUACAAGCAGUGGGAGCCUCUUAAUGGGGUGACUGCGUACCUUUUGUAUAAUGGGUCAGCGACUUAUAUUCUGUAGCAAGGUUAACCGAAUAGGGGAGCCGAAGGGAAACCGAGUCUUAACUGGGCGUUAAGUUGCAGGGUAUAGACCCGAAACCCGGUGAUCUAGCCAUGGGCAGGUUGAAGGUUGGGUAACACUAACUGGAGGACCGAACCGACUAAUGUUGAAAAAUUAGCGGAUGACUUGUGGCUGGGGGUGAAAGGCCAAUCAAACCGGGAGAUAGCUGGUUCUCCCCGAAAGCUAUUUAGGUAGCGCCUCGUGAAUUCAUCUCCGGGGGUAGAGCACUGUUUCGGCAAGGGGGUCAUCCCGACUUACCAACCCGAUGCAAACUGCGAAUACCGGAGAAUGUUAUCACGGGAGACACACGGCGGGUGCUAACGUCCGUCGUGAAGAGGGAAACAACCCAGACCGCCAGCUAAGGUCCCAAAGUCAUGGUUAAGUGGGAAACGAUGUGGGAAGGCCCAGACAGCCAGGAUGUUGGCUUAGAAGCAGCCAUCAUUUAAAGAAAGCGUAAUAGCUCACUGGUCGAGUCGGCCUGCGCGGAAGAUGUAACGGGGCUAAACCAUGCACCGAAGCUGCGGCAGCGACACUAUGUGUUGUUGGGUAGGGGAGCGUUCUGUAAGCCUGUGAAGGUGUACUGUGAGGUAUGCUGGAGGUAUCAGAAGUGCGAAUGCUGACAUAAGUAACGAUAAAGCGGGUGAAAAGCCCGCUCGCCGGAAGACCAAGGGUUCCUGUCCAACGUUAAUCGGGGCAGGGUGAGUCGACCCCUAAGGCGAGGCCGAAAGGCGUAGUCGAUGGGAAACAGGUUAAUAUUCCUGUACUUGGUGUUACUGCGAAGGGGGACGGAGAAGGCUAUGUUGGCCGGGCGACGGUUGUCCCGGUUUAAGCGUGUAGGCUGGUUUUCCAGGCAAAUCCGGAAAAUCAAGGCUGAGGCGUGAUGACGAGGCACUACGGUGCUGAAGCGACAAAUGCCCUGCUUCCAGGAAAAGCCUCUAAGCAUCAGGUAACAUCAAAUCGUACCCCAAACCGACACAGGUGGUCAGGUAGAGAAUACCAAGGCGCUUGAGAGAACUCGGGUGAAGGAACUAGGCAAAAUGGUGCCGUAACUUCGGGAGAAGGCACGCUGAUAUGUAGGUGAAGCGACUUGCUCGUGGAGCUGAAAUCAGUCGAAGAUACCAGCUGGCUGCAACUGUUUAUUAAAAACACAGCACUGUGCAAACACGAAAGUGGACGUAUACGGUGUGACGCCUGCCCGGUGCCGGAAGGUUAAUUGAUGGGGUUAGCGGUAACGCGAAGCUCUUGAUCGAAGCCCCGGUAAACGGCGGCCGUAACUAUAACGGUCCUAAGGUAGCGAAAUUCCUUGUCGGGUAAGUUCCGACCUGCACGAAUGGCGUAAUGAUGGCCAGGCUGUCUCCACCCGAGACUCAGUGAAAUUGAACUCGCUGUGAAGAUGCAGUGUACCCGCGGCAAGACGGAAAGACCCCGUGAACCUUUACUAUAGCUUGACACUGAACAUUGAGCCUUGAUGUGUAGGAUAGGUGGGAGGCUUUGAAGUGUGGACGCCAGUCUGCAUGGAGCCGACCUUGAAAUACCACCCUUUAAUGUUUGAUGUUCUAACGUGGGCCCCUUACCGGGGUUGCGGACAGUGUCUGGUGGGUAGUUUGACUGGGGCGGUCUCCUCCUAAAGAGUAACGGAGGAGCACGAAGGUUGGCUAAUCCUGGUCGGACAUCAGGAGGUUAGUGCAAUGGCAUAAGCCAGCUUGACUGCGAGCGUGACGGCGCGAGCAGGUGCGAAAGCAGGUCAUAGUGAUCCGGUGGUUCUGAAUGGAAGGGCCAUCGCUCAACGGAUAAAAGGUACUCCGGGGAUAACAGGCUGAUACCGCCCAAGAGUUCAUAUCGACGGCGGUGUUUGGCACCUCGAUGUCGGCUCAUCACAUCCUGGGGCUGAAGUAGGUCCCAAGGGUAUGGCUGUUCGCCAUUUAAAGUGGUACGCGAGCUGGGUUUAGAACGUCGUGAGACAGUUCGGUCCCUAUCUGCCGUGGGCGCUGGAGAACUGAGGGGGGCUGCUCCUAGUACGAGAGGACCGGAGUGGACGCAUCACUGGUGUUCGGGUUGUCAUGCCAAUGGCACUGCCCGGUAGCUAAAUGCGGAAGAGAUAAGUGCUGAAAGCAUCUAAGCACGAAACUUGCCCCGAGAUGAGUUCUCCCUGACUCCUUGAGAGUCCUGAAGGAACGUUGAAGACGACGACGUUGAUAGGCCGGGUGUGUAAGCGCAGCGAUGCGUUGAGCUAACCGGUACUAAUGAACCGUGAGGCUUAACCUUACAACGCCGAAG
rnacentral:rRNA from 1 species